rnacentral:lncRNA from 1 species
UGAAAAGAAAAAUGAAAAAAGAAUCCUGGGGAUGACCAGCAUUUAGUGGGGUAAGGAAGAAGAGAAAAGCAGCAAGUAAAGGAUAAAAGGAAAUCCAUAAUUUUUGAAUGCUGGCCGAGGUCUGUGACCUCUGACUGAAUGGUUUCCAAGCUCUGAAUUCCUAGGUAUAACACUUGCUGAAGAAAGGAAAAGCUCUCUGAUUUAGGUGUAAGCAAAACAAUCUAAACAGUAGGAUAAAAUCGUGUUGGAGUGGAGUUCUGUGUGAGCGCUGUCUUUGA